CUGCUGCCUUCCGUAGGAGUCUGGGCCGUGUCUCAGUCCCAAUGUGGCCGUUCAACCUCUCAGUCCGGCUACCGAUCGUUGACUAGGUGGGCCGUUACCCCGCCUACUAUCUAAUCGGCCGCGAGCCCAUCUUUCAGCAGAUUUCUCUUUUGGUUGUAAAUGGAUGCCCUUUUACAACGUUAUGCGGUAUUAGCAGUCGUUUCCAACUGUUAUCCCCCUCUGAAAGGUAGGUUGCUCACGUGUUACUCACCCGUCCGCCACUAAACCAU
rnacentral:rRNA from 1 species